AACGGAACCACUACCUCUGAAGCUUCCUGUGCUCUACACCCUUAAAGGGGUACUCUGGUGGAAAAACUAUUUUUUUUUUCUUUUUUAAAUCAACUGGUGCCAGAAAGUUAAACAUAUUUGUAAAUUACUUCUAUUAAAAAAUCUUAAUUCUCCAGGAUCUGAAGAAGCGCUGCGUGUUCAGCGCGAAAGCAGCUGUUCAUCACUUGGCGUCCGCAGGCCCGCGGCGUUCCGCUAUUGGAAGCACCUGUACUGCACCGAUGUGUAAAGGAUAAAGUUACCACUUGAAGAUCCUUACUACAAUAUGGAGUCAGUGUGGGCGACGGUCCUGACAGUCAUCUGGCUCCAUUCAUCUUGUCUGGACCAGAGAGAAGAAUGGGAAAUACUGGAGGAAAAAGCCGUCUCCUGGCUUAAGGCCAAAGCAGGUUCCUCCCUAGAUCAGUUUGUCAGAGCUGGGAAUGAGCUACUGAAAUCCUCCCUGGACCCUAUAGUGUAUGGCCAGUAAGAGGAAGAAUAAAGAUGGCGGAAGGCCUCUCCAUCUGAAUCUUGGAAUGUUACCGUUUUAUCGUCUGAGCUUUAAUCUCUCUGAGCUACCAAAAAGUCUGCCUUCUAUGGUUCAGUGGCUACCUUGGGUUGGAGGGACUCGAUGCGGUACAUUAAAAUCACACUCCAUGAUUGGUUUGAUAUGUUAGGGAUACGAUCACUCCUUACUAAAAUAUGUAUAAAUGACUGACCUUCCACCAACGGGUCAACUAUGGUGAAAAAGAAAAAAGAUGGUAGAGAGUAGAGACCCCAGGCCACGCACAUCCACAAUGUACUGUGUAGGGUAUUUCUGGUCUAUAUAGUUGACCAUUUCUAUGUUCCCAUAAUUCAGUCUGUGUUUGUAAAGUGAUAUGGUUCAGAACCACUAUAUUUAUUAUCAUAAUUAAACUUCAAUUCUUAUUAUUGUGGUCAUGCACAGGGCACUAAUCCCCAACUGUAGGUCACUGAAGAGUUUGUUGUGUGCAGAAGGGUCCAAAUACAGCUUCUCCUCCCCUGGCUAUUAAAUACUCUUCUUGGAGCUGUAACUUGGAGCACAACAGGGGAGAUUUAUCAAGACCUGUGCAGAGGAAAAUGUUCCCAGUUGUCCAUAGCAACCAAUCAGAUUGCUUAUUUAAUUUUUAAAAAGGCCUUUGAAAAACAAUAGAAGCAAUCUGAUUGGUUUCUAUGGGUAACUGGGCAACGUUUCCACUGCACAGGUUUUGAUAAAUCUCUACCAAUGUCCUCACAGGCUGGACUGGAGACAACCUUUUGGGUGAAAUCUUUGUGGUGUCCCUGAGCAGGAAUACCUUCAUUAUCAGAACUCUGUUAGGGUAGUUGCAGUCCCCUUAGGUGCCUGUCUCUGAUAAAAUGUAGUCUUAUUGGGGAGAUUUUUCAAAACCUGUCC